rnacentral:rRNA from 1 species
GACGAACCGUCCAAACGUUAUUCGGAAUCACUGGGCUUAAAGGGCGCGUAGGUGGAUGGGCCAGUCUAUGGUGAAAUCCUCCGGCUUAACCGGAGAACUGCCGUGGAUACUGCUCAUCUCGAGGAGGGUAGGGGCGUCUGGAACUAGCGGUGGAGCGGUGAAAUGCGUUGAUAUCGCUAGGAACUCCGGUGGCGAAGGCGAGACGCUGGACCCUUUCUGACACUGAGGCGCGAAAGCCAGGGGAGCGAACGGG